rnacentral:tRNA from 1 species
GGAGGUUGACCCAGCCGGAACGGGAAUCGCCUGCUAAGCGAUGGGUUGCGAAAGCGCCUAGUGAGUUCGAUUCUCACAGCCUCCG